UGGGGAAUUUUGGACAAUGGGCGCAAGCCUGAUCCAGCCAUGCCGCGUGAGGGAAGAAGGCCUUCGGGUUGUAAACCGCUUUUGUCAGGGAAGAAAUCUUCUGAGUUAAUACCUCGGGAGGAUGACGGUACCUGAAGAAUAAGCACCGGCUAACUACGUGCCAGCAGCCGCGGUAAUACGUAGGGUGCAAGCGUUAAUCGGAAUUACUGGGCGUAAAGCGUGCGCAGGCGGUUUUGUAAGACAGAGGUGAAAUCCCCGGGCUCAACCUGGGAACUGCCUUUGUGACUGCAAGGCUUGAGUGCGGCAGAGGGGGAUGGAAUUCCGCGUGUAGCAGUGAAAUGCGUAGAUAUGCGGAGGAACACCGAUGGCGAAGGCAAUCCCCUGGGCCUGCACUGACGCUCAUGCACGAAAGCGUGGGGAGCAAACAGGAUUAGAUACCCUGGUAGUCCACGCCCUAAACGAUGUCAACUGGUUGUUGGGAAGGUUCCUUCUCAGUAACGUAGCUAACGCGUGAAGUUGACCGCCUGGGGAGUACGGCCGCAA
rnacentral:rRNA from 1 species